AUUAGUAUUCAAUACCUGGUAUCAAGGUAUCAGUUAUGUAUAUAAAAACUCAAUAUACCAGUACAAAAGUAAUUCAUUUGUAGAAUAUUUACAUUAUUGAUAUGAAAUAGAAUUUAUUGUCAACUUUUGUGUAUUGAUGUAUGAAAUAUUGAGCGCCAAGUAAUUAAUAAUUCAACACAACACUUUUCCGAUAAUGUAUCUUGUUGAUCAUGAUAUUUGUCUCUUGAAAUCAGCAUCAAAAUGGCGGAUUUCAUCAGGUGAAUUAAGAUUGGACACUGAACAAUUGAAAUAAGAUUCUGAAAGUUGGACCUUAAUUGGUAGUGAAAGUCCGGGUUUACUAGUACACAGGUACUGCACUUGUGCAUCAUAAUAUGUCUUCUUUCUGGAACAUGAUUUGCUUUCCCCGAAGAAGAUUUACAUCUGGGCAAUCUAAAAGUAAACAAAGACAAAGACGGCGUAAUAAGGGGAAUGUAGUUACCUUACAAAGGCGGAAGUUACUGGACGAUACUGGACAUUUUCAAGAUACACAAUCCGUCACUGCCCACGAAACUACACAACCCGCAGAGAAACCACCUCAAACUAAUGUUCCUAAUAAAAGAAGGCGUGUGCAGGACAUAUUCAAUACAGAUCCACAUUCCCCGGCACUUCGCGACAGUGAACAAACAUUUAUAGAUCCUUAUGAACAUAAACAUAGUGACAAUUUCACACACAUGAAAGUUCCUAGUCUAUUUAUUGACAAUAACCGUCCUAAGAGACCCCAUAGUGACAUAAAUAAUGUUGAAAGUAUGUAUGGAUAUGUUCCAAAAACGAUGCAAAAUUUAUACACCUCUACAGCAUUAGAGGGACAAAAGAUUGAAGAUUAUUUCUCUAGUUUACACAAUGAUAUUUAUUUUUCUAAAUUUGCAAAUUCUGAGGCAGUAACCAAAGACAAAGCUGGAAGUGUUUUACAAAGAAUACCGUUUACGCGUGCGUCAAGUUCAGCUUCCGCCCAAGAGGAAAAAGUUUCGUUACUAGAAGAAAACGACCCUGUUGAUGAAAUGGACAUAAGUCAGUUUAAUGAUGUAAAACAAUGGCAAAACACGUUAGCGCCAAGGACAGAAUACAACAUGGAAGCAAGCUUUCAUUCUAUGCUUAACUCGGUAGAAGAAGUUCUGUACUAGUACGUUUACUUAGUACAAGAAUUUGUAUAGUAAGAAGGAUUGGAAUCUCGUGGACUUUUGCAUAGACUGUAUUAUAAUGUCUUAUGCAGCGAGUACGUAAUAUUCAAUUCAAUUGAUGUGGAAAUUACAUUUCAUUGCAAACAAAUGACCUUUGUUCGUAGGAGUAUAAGAUUUUAUAUAUAUUUUUUUUAAAUCAGGUUAAACUACUACAAAAUUCACAUAGAAAUAGUUGUGAUUAUACUAUUAAUACAAAAUAACUUCUUUUUUGGAAAAUGGUCCAUUUUCCACAACUAUAACCGUUUUUUCCAUAAUUUACCUUGGCCAUAACACCUGAUCCACGAUUUUAUUGUAGGCAUUCAAUAUAAUUAUUUGCACCAUUUGAUUAUGGAACAUUUUGGAUCGUUGGCCAAGGUUUUUCUAAAACUAUUAAGUCCGAAAAACACAAAAUUAUCAUAUUUUGACAAUAUAUAUGUCUUUGAGCUUAUAAGAUGGCCAAGGGGUUUAGUACUGUAUCCGUUUGAUUGUUAUGAUAAUUGUGUCAAUCGAUGACGUUAGAUGAUUUGAAUUGUUAGCUUUAAUUAAAAACAUUUCCGAUUUGCCAGUAAUUUUACUACUGCAGGGUACUGUACAAACAAUUUGUGAUUGUUUUAUUUGUUCAAUAUUUAUUAUAUUAAAUUUUUAACUACUGCAAAUAA